GACAAAAAAAAAAAAAAAAGCACAAAAGUUCACAUGCAGCUGAUCAGACCUCGGCACACACCGGUUGAAGUUGUUCAUCGAGUAUCAGGAUUAGAACAGGCAGCUUUACAGCCCGGCUUAUUCCUCGCUCAGAUAGGAAAAGUCACUUCCUUAUGUGCUCAGCCUUCUAAGGAAGCAUUUCCUGUGCAGGAGGAGGAGGAGGAGGACGAGAUUGUAUACGCAGCCAGACAACUUGUUGCAAGGCACCACAGACAAAGUUGCUGUCCCCUUCAAUCUUUCUUACGGACAUUUCCCUCACAUGCUUCUGAGGCCCCGACUCAAUGAGAAUGGAAUCUAAUGGAACUGCACCCACGAUAACGAUGGCGUCUAAAACUGUGGGUGCAACCCAAGGCGCAGAAGGAACUGCUGCUGUUGACAGCAGCUUCAACAUCAUAAUUGUUG